rnacentral:pre_miRNA from 1 species
CUGGCAGUGGACGGAGCGAUGGUGGGCGGCUGGCGGUGGGCAGCGGGAGGAAGCGGAGCUGAGCAGCGGCGGGGCGAAAUGGAGCGACAGCGGGCGGUGGGCAGAGCGACAAGGGCGAAGAGGCCGGUGAGCCACCGCUCCUCUUCCGCCUUCCCAUCGGCCACCCUCUCCACCGGCGCAACGCGCGCCACCGCUCCUCUCCCUCCCACCCAUCGACUGGUGUGCACCGCCAACCCUUUCCCGCCGG